rnacentral:rRNA from 1 species
UUCCAGCUCUAAAAGCGUAUUCUAAAGUUGUUGCAGUUAAAAAGCUCGUAGUCGAGAGCCAUCACACUCGUGAGAGCGUGAGCGGAGGCGGAUUGAGGAAAGGAGAGUGCUUCAGGGUAAAGUGGGAGAGCUUGGGACGCCUCGAAGGUUGCAAGACCUUUGUGAGAAGAGAAAGCAGUGGAGGACGUGGGUAUUUCAUGGACAGAGGUGAAAUUCUAUGACCCAUGAAAGACGAUCGGGGGCGAAAGCG